CAUAUGAGCGAGCGUCACCCUUCACUUAAGAAAGAGCUUCAUAUUCGCUGAGAAAAGAGUUCGUAGAAUCGCUGAGAAAAGAGUUUGGAGUUUGGACGUUUAAUUAAAGAAGAGUUUGUACAUUAAAUCUGAAUAGGACACUUGGCGAGACUCUAUUGGUCAAGGGGUUAAAACUUAGAUAACAGUCGGCCAAGAGAAUUCUUCUUAUUCAUGUUUCCUACGGCAAAAAAACUUACAAGGGUUUAAUCAAAUCAACUGCAAUUUUUUAUGUUCCUGCAAUUUUUCUGCAAUUUUAGGUAAAAUCAAUAAAACCCUGACCCAUGUUUUAUUUUGCAGUUGGACACUAAUUAACUGAACAAAGAGACUCGCUUGCUGUUGCAAACAUGGUGGAGUUGUUCUUAGCUGAUCAGUUUAGGGUUUGUGCUGAAUUUCUAAAUUUCUACACAAUAUAAUUUCUUUGGACGUCAAGUUUUGGUUUCAGGUUGCCUAAUUGUGUUCAAACUCCCUUGAAUACGUAACAAAAGAUAUAAGUUCCCUGAAAAUUGUGUUAUUUUGAUUAUUGUAGAUGUUUGUUGUUUAGACGAGAGAAAACAAUAUAUGGGUUCAUUCAAUAUGUGGUGGUUUUGGCAGACGCUCUCGCUCUUCAUGAUGCCUCCAUUCAGGUGUCUAUGGGGAUGUUAGUAAGACAAGGGUUUAAUCAAAUCAACUGCAAUUUUUCUGCAAUUUUACGUACAAUCUUGCAAUUUUUAACUGAACAAAGAGACUUGCUUGCUGUUGCAAACAUGGUGGAGUUGUUCUUAGCUGAUCAGUUUAGGGUUUGUGCUGAAUUUCUAAAUUUCUACACAAUAUAAUUUCUUUGGACGUCAAGUUUUGGUUUCAGGUUGCCUAAUUGUGUUCAAACUCCCUUGAGUACGUAACAAAAGAUAUAAGUUCCCUGAAAAUUGUGUUAUUUUGAUUAUUGUAGAUGUUUGAUGUUUAGACGAGAGAAAACAAUAUAUGAGUUCAUUCAAUAUGUGGUGGUUUUGGCAGACGCUCUCGCUCUUAUCUCGCUCUUCAUGAUGCCUCCAUUCAGGCGUCUAUGGGGAUGUUAGUAAGACAUGUAGCCGGUAUAUAUGUUCAUCUUCUAUGAGCUUAUUCUUUCGGCAUGUUAGCAAGAUAGAUAUUUAAUCUGAAAGCUUACAGAGGAUUAACUCAGGAAUCUAGAAAAUCGUUGAGAUCGUACUUUGUAUGGAUGGACUCUCUUUCUUCCCAAAACCUAACCGUGUGAGCUUGGAAGAGCUGAAACUUUGUAACGAUCUCUGGCUUAUAUGAGGAACGAUUUUUACAAUUGGUAAACCUGAAAAAAAAAUGACCUUUACUACAAAGCCCUAACCCUAUUUUCCAUUUCUCUAUUUCCUUCUCUUGAUUUCAAUUUAGUUCAAAUUUUGAGAUAGAACACUAGAUAAUUAAUUAUCAUUGUUAUAAGAUGUUUUCAGCGUUCAAAAGCAAACAUGGAGCUUCAAGAUAGAUCGUCAGAGGUGGAUCUAUGGUUCUGCUUAGAAGCUAGCAAGGUACAGUUACAGUGAGCUUGAUCGUUUUGUAUACAACGCUAACUUCAGUUAUCCCAACAUUUCAGUAAAACUAAGUAAUGUUAUUGGCUAAAAUUUGGGCUUUGUGGACAUUGAUACUACUCUUAACUUUGCUGGAUUUGACCAGACGUAUAAGGUUAAUACCUUUUUUGUUUUA